GUCGGUGAUGGAAAUUUUAAUUUUUUUUAGUACAAUAGGUGGGGGUUGUGGAAUCUCAUAUGCUGUCGCCAGCUUGCAGCGAUUGGUGAAGUUUCUUAAGCACAUUUGGUUGUGACUUGUGAGGGUACCAAGGAAAAAUGGUUUGCAUUUUCAGACUUGUAGUACGGACUUGUGAACUUCAGCUGGCUUCAGCUGGUUUCGUAUAAUGUAAUCUCUAGGUUGUUUUCUAAACAUGUUAUGACUCCAUUUGCUCUUGUUUCAUUAGCUUUUAUUUUUUUUCAGACUUAGUGGUACCGUAGGAUGUGUUUUCAAAUUUUUUUAGGCAGCUGGUAUUACAUUUUCUCUGGAGGGAUCUGCUUUUUGAC
rnacentral:lncRNA from 1 species